GAUGAACGCUGGCGGCGUGCCUAAUACAUGCAAGUCGAGCGAACAGACCAGGAGCUUGCUCCUCUGACGUUAGCGGCGGACGGGUGAGUAACACGUGUAUAACCUACCUAUAAGACUGGGAUAACUUCGGGAAACCGGAUCUAAUACCGGAUAAUAUAUUGAACCGCAUGGUUCAAUAGUGAAAUACGGUUUUUCUGUCACUUAUAGAUGGAUCCGCGCCGCAUUAGCUAGUUGUUAAGGUAACGGCUUACCAAGGCAACGAUGCGUAGACGACCUGAGAGGGUGAUAGGCCACCUUGGAAGUGAGACACGGUCAAGACUCCUACGGGAGGCAGCAGUCGGGAAUCUUACGCAAUGGGGGAAAGCCUGACGGAGCAACGCCGCGUGAGUGAUGAAGGUGUUCGGAGCGUAAAACUCUGUUAUUAGGGAAGAACAAAUGUGUAAGUAACCAUGCAGGUAUUGACGGUACCGGAUCAGAAAGCCCCGGCUAACUACGUG
rnacentral:rRNA from 1 species